GGAGAGGUGGCUGAGUGGUCGAAGGCGCUCGUUUGGAGUACGAGUGUGCGGGUUUUUCCGCACCGUGGGUUCGAAUCCCACCCUCUCCG
rnacentral:tRNA from 1 species